CUGAGGCUGACGAGGGGAAGGAGAGAUGCCCUGAGGCUGACGAGGGGAAGGAGAGAUGCCCUGAGGCUGACGAGGGGAAGGAGAGAUCCCUGAGGCUGACGAGGGGCAGGAGACUUCAUCUUCAGAAGGAGAGAUGCCCUGAGGCUGACAAGGGGAAGGAGACAUCAUCUUCAGAAGGAGAGAUGCCCUGAGGCUGACGAGGGGAAGGAGAGAUGCCCUGAGGCUGACGAGGGGAAGGAGAGAUCCCUGAGGCUGAC
rnacentral:lncRNA from 1 species